rnacentral:rRNA from 1 species
GAAUUUUGGACAAUGGGGGCAACCCUGAUCCAGCCAUCCCGCGUGUGCGAUGAAGGCCUUCGGGUUGUAAAGCACUUUUGGCAGGGAAGAAAAGGCUCUGGCUAAUACUUGGAGCUGCUGACUGUACCUGCCGAAUAAGCACCGCCGAACCACGUACCAGCCGCCGCGGUAAUACGUAGGGUGCAAGCGUUAAUCGGAAUUACUGGGCGUAAAACGUGCGCAGGCGGUUCGGCAAGAAGGAUGUGAAAUCCCAGGGCUUAACCUUGGAACUGCAUUCUUAACUGCCGGGCUAGAGUAUGUCAGAGGGGGGUAGAAUUCCGCGUGUAGCAGUGAAAUGCGUAGAGAUGCGGAGGAAUACCGAUGGCGAAGGCAGCCCCCUGGGAUAAUACUGACGCUCAUGCACGAAAGCGUGGGGAGCAAAC